AGGCGUGACCAUACCACGUUGGAAACACCGGUUCACGUUUGAUCACCGAAGUUAAGCAACGUCGAGCCCGGUUAGUACUUGCACGAGUGACCGGCUGGUGCGGCCG
rnacentral:rRNA from 1 species